UUUUAGUACCUUAAUCCUGAACCGCGUUGUGAUUCAUGGUCUUUAUUUCAAGUGAUAGGAGCUGUGAUUGACUCACUAUGGUGACCAUGUCUUAGUGAGAAGCACCGUAGUAGCCUUUUUAUAUUGCCGAGGGAGCGGCUGAUGGAGGCGGUCUGCAGAUGGCGUGCGAGUCAAGGAGGUCCACCGCAAGCGGCCGAUGAUGGGCGCACCGGCGAUGAGAUCUCCGGUGGAAAGAUGCAUCCAGGCCCCGACCACCUCUCCACCACGACGUGCCAGCCAGUUCUCUCUUGCCCCUCCUUCUACACCAAAUCGCCGUCUCACCCACCAGUUCCAGAGGGGGCAGAAGAGGAGCCAUUUGCACUCACCAGUAAGUUGCGCAAGGCUACAACCUCUCUCGAUGAGUACUGCCUCGGCUACAACCUCCCUCGGGGAGCUCCAUCUUCCUCCUGCUGCUCUGCUUCGGCUACUAGAUCAGGAUCGCGCCUUGGCGCGAGGGUGCUUGUCCCAACGACGUGGCCAAGCGGCUAAAGAUGAGAUGCUAUGAUGCGUUAGUAGAAAGGAUAGUAAGUGCAGCUCAUCCAUAAUCACUAAAAAUGAUACAAUUGUGGAUGUAGGUUUCUAUUGAAACAAUCACUAAAAAUGAUAAAUAUGCAAGUGGUGACAGAUUGUUGUUACCAUGUGGA